rnacentral:rRNA from 1 species
AUUGAACGCUGGCGGCAUGCCUUACACAUGCAAGUCGAACGGCAGCACGGGAGCAAUCCUGGUGGCGAGUGGCGAACGGGUGAGUAAUAUAUCGGAACGUGCCCAGUAAUGGGGGAUAGCCCGGCGAAAGCCGGAUUAAUACCGCAUACGCCCUACGGGUGAAAGCAGGGGAUCGCAAGACCUUGCGUUAUUGGAGCGGCCGAUAUCAGAUUAGCUAGUUGGUGGGGUAAAAGCCUACCAAGGCGACGAUCUGUAGCUGGUCUGAGAGGACGACCAGCCACACUGGGACUGAGACACGGCCCAGACUCCUACGGGAGGCAGCAGUGGGGAAUUUUGGACAAUGGGCGCAAGCCUGAUCCAGCCAUGCCGCGUGUGGGAAGAAGGCCUUCGGGUUGUAAACCACUUUUGUCAGGGAAGAAACGCUCUGGGCUAAUACCCUGGGGUAAUGACGGUACCUGAAGAAUAAGCACCGGCUAACUACGUGCCAGCCGCCGCAGUAAUAC